UGAAUACGAGACGCUACGGCGUUGAAGCAGUGUAUGUCAUACUUCCAAGAAAAGCUCCAAGGUCAUAAACAAAUAAUGCCUGUACCAUAACCGACACAGGUGGGUAGGUAGAGUAUACUAAGGGGCGCGAGAUAACUCUCUCUAAGGAACUCGGCAAAAUGACUCCGUAACUUCGGGAGAAGGAGUGCCUUAUUUUAUAAGGUUGCAAUAACAAGAUCCAAGCAACUGUUUAUCAAAAACACAGGUCUCCGCUAAGUCGUAAGACGAUGUAUGGGGGCUGACGCCUGCCCAGUGCCAGAAGGUUAAAGAAGUUGGUUAGCAAUUGCAAAGCUGAUGACUGAAGCCCUGGUGAACGGCGGCCGUAACAAUAACGGUCCUAAGGUAGCGAAAUUCCUUGUCGGGUAAGUUCCGACCCGCACGAAAGGCGUAAUGAUUUGGAUACUGUCUCAGAGAGGGGCUCGGUGAAAUAGACUUGUCUGUGAAGAUGCGGACUACCUGCACCUGGACAGAAAGACCCUAUGAAGCUUUACUGUAACUUGAAAUUGAAACUGGACUUUACUUGCGCAGGAUAGGUGGGAGGCGUUGAGAGUAUUCUUGCGGGAAUAUUGGAGCCAUCGGUGAGAUACCACUCUUGUAAUGUUAGGUUUCUAACUUGGUAUCAUGAUCUGGUCCAAGAACAGUUUCAGGCGGGCAGUUUGACUGGGGCGGUCGCCUCCUAAACGGUAACGGAGGCGUACAAAGGUUUCCUCUGAACGGGUAGAAAUCGUAUCUAGAGUGUAAAGGCAUAAGGAAGCUUGACUGUGAGACCUACAAGUCGAGCAGGGACGAAAGUCGGUCUUAGUGAUCUGACGGUGCUGAGUGGAAAGGCCGUCACUCAACGGAUAAAAGUUACUCUAGGAUAACAGGCUGAUCUCCCCCAAGAGUUCACAUCGACGGGGAGGUUUGGCACCUCGAUGUCGGCUCAUCGCAUCCUGGGGCGGUAGUACGUCCCAAGGGUUGGGCUGUUCGCCCAUGAAAGCGGUACGCGAGCUGGGUUCAGAACGUCGUGAGACAGUUCGGUCCAUAUCCGGUGUAGGCGUUAGAAUAUUGAGAGGAGCCUUCUUUAGUACGAGAGGACCGAGAAGGACACACCUAUGGUGUACCAGUUAUCGUGCCAACGGUAAACGCUGGGUAGCUAUGUGUGGAGUGGAUAACCGCUGAAAGCAUCUAAGUGGGAAGCCCACCUCAAGAUGAGUAUUCUCAUC
rnacentral:rRNA from 1 species